rnacentral:lncRNA from 10 species
UUCCCCUGCACACUCUCUCUUGCCUGCCACCACGUAAGACAUGCCUUUGCUCUUCCUUUGCCUUCUGCCAUGAUUGUGAGGCCUCCCCAGCCAUGUGGAACUGAGUCCAUUCAACCUCUUUUUCUUUAUAAAUUACCCAGCCUUGGGUAUUUCUUCAUAGCAGUAUGAGAAUGGACUAAUAUCCCGUGGUUGUCAAUUCCAGAAGUGAAGCAUGUGUAUCCAUUCUUGUCGCGAGCAGAAGAGAGCGUGAUGUGAGUACUGGGGCACUGAGGCAAGCCCCAGAAGCAGAUGGCAGCCACAGCUGGCCUGGAGGGCCUGUCCCAGUGAGGGAGCUGCCCGAGCCACUCCUGCCCUGCUCCACCCACUGCACCUGCCUCCGGAGAGCCUCUUCCCACACUCCACACCAAUUCCACCUUGCCUAGGCAGCGCCAAAGCACCUUCUCUGAAAGCUGUUAAGUGAAGGCUGUGACUUCAGCCCCUUAGAUUCAGACUCAGUUGAUCUUCCUGUGCUGAGACCCUCUAGCAGAAUCACAACAGAGAGACACGUGACCUCUGGACACUAUGCUGAGCCCCGAGCAUGGGUGAGAGGCGCUGGCUGGGAAGGGCCUAUUGCCUGGAACACUUCAUUACUUGAAACACAGAGCAAGAAGCAGAAGUUACAAAUCAGGUGUUCUCUUUAAGAAGCUGUAUGGAGAGUUUGUCCUUACACUUGAAUAGUUGCUUCAUUACCUCCCUUAUCUCAGAAGGACAUGCACAGUAAGGUUAUGAAGAACUGGCUUCCAAAUAAUAUUAAGAGCAAGUCACCUAGACUGGAACCAGCAGGUCCAUAUGGCAGACCAGGGACAGCGGGAAGAACACCUAAGUGGAACCCUGAAGCUACUUCCCACUCUGUGACUUUAGGGUCCAUAGAAUUAUGGACCUGGAUACUGGAUGGCAGAUGUGAAAUCCCUUCUUCUUAUUCAAUGCUUAUGCAAAUAUGUGCUAUUGUCAUUGCAAACAUGGUAUGUGCCCUGGAGGGGAACAAUGACUCCAUUAAAUUUUCUGGCCCUGGAAUUCCGUAAAGGAAGUAGUCCAUGGCCCUAGCCCAGGUUUUUCAGCCUCCACACUAUUGCCCAGUAGGCCCUGGAGAUGCCCUGUGUGGGGCCCUGUGCCCAGAGCGGCAUCCCUGGGCUCCACCCUGCAGGUGCCCUGGAUAUCAGCAGAAACUCCCACCAAGUCCUGACAAUAGAAAGUGUCUCCAGACAUGCCCAAGUGUCCCUCGGGGGCAAAACCACCAGUUUGGGAGACCCUGCCUAGGAAAGGUUUUUGUCUUGCUUUUUGUAGAGAGGCCACACAGUGAGAGGCUUCUCAGAAAGAAGGCGCAGUUCCCAGUGCUCAUUAACCUACAGAUUCAAUGACCAAUUCACUGCAGAGGGCAUCCAAAGGUUCUCGAACACAGAAGUUAGGAAAUGACCAUGAGAUAACAAACGGGGCUCUAUUUUGUAAAGGGGGUGCAGCCCGAUUUGGGAUUGCUAAUAAAAGACAAGUAAGUCUUUCAACUCGAUU